rnacentral:rRNA from 1 species
UACGUAGGUGGCAAGCGUUGUCCGGAUUUAUUGGGUUUAAAGGGUGCGUAGGCGGCGCAGAAAGUUGGGUGUGAAAUCCCUCGGCUCAACCGAGGAACUGCGCCCAAAACUACUGUGCUUGAGGAAGAUAGAGGUAAGCGGAACUUACGGUGGAGCGGUGAAAUGCGUUGAUAUCGUAAGGAACACCUGUGGCGAAAGCGGCUUACUGGGUCUUUUCUGACGCUGAUGCACGAAAGCCAGGGGAGCAAACGGG